CACUGCUGGGACUAAAUACACAUUCACUCUGUUCUCUGUGUUUGAGAAUAUCAGAAGCAGUGGAGUCAGCAUCACUGCAGCUACUGGACCCAGUUAUUUCCUGCGAAUUAAAAUGAAAUUACAAUUAUCUCCAGAGCUGUCUAAAUUAAACUUAGAAGAUGAAUUAGUGGAGCUCCUCAAACAAUUUGGAUUGUCUCCACAGAUGUAUGCCCUGAUGGUUCAUACUGCCGAACCAUGAAAUCCCAAAAUUAAAUAAGGUAGAAUAGAUGUGCAGUCCUUUACAAUUUUUAUUAUAAAAAAUGCAUGUAUUAAAGAUUUAAUAUAUUCUGAACAUUAUUAGCAAUG